CUCCCAACGUCGUGGUCGAACCCAGCUUCUCACAAACUGGUUCGACCAUGGUUCGACCUGAUGAACAGGUCGAACCCCUCGAGUCGUGGUCGAACCUACUUCCUGCACUUCUCCAACACUGGUUCGACCUGCUGGAGAGGUCGAACCCUCCUCCAACAGGUCGAACCCACCUCUUUUCUUGGCGGUUCGCAUGGUCUCGACUUCGUCUCUUCGAUUCUUGGCACUUCCACUCCAUUUUUGCUAUGAAAACCACUCAAAUAGCUCCACCAACACCUGAUUCAUGCUAAUUCACAAUAUAUAUAGGUUUUCCACCUAUUUUCACAUCAAAAUUCUCCAAAACUAGCACAAAACAUGGUGCCAAACUUGUGAAUUUACACACUCAUCAGAGAGCCUGAGAAACAGCUACCACAUCCAAGGAAGGCAGCAGGCAUGCAAAUUACCCAAUCCUAACACGGGGAGGUAGUGACAAUAAAUAACAAUACUGGGCUCUUUGAGUCUAGUAAUUGGAAUGAGUACAAUCUAAAUCCCUUAACGAGGAUUCAUUGGAGGGCAAGUCUGGUGCCAGCAGCCGCGGUAAUUCCAGUUCCAAUAGCGUAUUUUUAAUUUGUUGCAGUUAAAAAGCUUGUAGUUGGACUUUGGGUUGGGCCGGCCGGUCCGCCUUCCGAUGUGCACCGGACGUCUCGUCCCUUUCGCCGGUGAUGCGCUCAUGGUCUUAACUGGCCAAGUCGUGCCUCCGGCGCUAUUACUUUGAAGAAAUUAGAGUGCUCAAAGCAAGCCUACACUCUGGAUACAUUAUCAUGGGAUAACAUUAUAGGAUUUCAGUUUUAUUAUGUUGGCCUUCGGGAUCGGAGUAAUGAUUAACAGGGACAGUCGGGGGCAUUCGUAUUUCAUAGUCAGAGGUGAAAUUUUUGGAUUUAUGAAAGAUGAACAACUAUGAAAGCAUUUGCCAAGGAUGUUUUCAUUAAUCAAGAACGAAAGUUGGAGGCUCGAAGACGAUCAUAUACCGUCCUAGUCUCAACCAUAAACGAUGCCGACAAGGGAUCGGCAGAUAUUGCUUAAAGGACUCUGCCGGCACCUUAUGAGAAAUCAAAGUCUUUGGGUUCCGGGGGGAGUAUGGUCGCAAGGCUGAAGCUUAAAGGAAUUGACGAAAGAGCACCACCAGGAGUGGAGCCCGCGGCUUAAUUUGACUCAACACAGGGAAACUUACCAGGUCCAGACAUAGUAAUGAUUGACAGACUGAGAGCUCUUUCUUGAUUCUAUGGGUGGUGGUGCAUGGCUAUUCUUAGUUGGUGGAGCGAUUUGUCUAGUUAAUUCCAUUAACGAACGAGACCUCAGCCUGCUAACUAGCUAUGCGGAGGUAUCCCUCCGUGGCCAGCUUCUUAGAGGUACUACGGCCUUUUAGGCCGCUGAAGUUUGAGGCAAUAACAGGUCUGUGAUGCCCUUAGAUGUUCUAGGCCGCACGCGCGCUACACUGAUGAAUUCAACGAGUUUAUAGCCUUGGCCGACAGGCCUGGGUAAUCUUUGAAAUUUCAUCGUGAUGGGGAUAGAUCAUUGCAAUUGUUGGUCUUCAACGAGGAAUUCCUAGUAAGCGCGAGUAUUGGCUUGCGUUGACUAUGUCCCUAUCCUUUGUACACGCCGCUCGUUGCUCCUACCGAUUGAAUGGUCCGGUGAAGUGUUCGAAUCGAGGCGACGUGGGCGGUUCGCCGCCCGCGACAUAGCGAGAAGUCCACUGAACCUUAUCAUUUAGAGGAAGGAGAAGUCAUAACGAGGUUUAUGUAGGUGAACCUACGGAAG
rnacentral:rRNA from 1 species